AUUGAACGCUGGCGGCAGGCCUAACACAUGCAAGUCGAACGCGUGGCGGACGGGUGAGUAAUGUCUGGGAAACUGCCUGAUGGAGGGGGAUAACUACUGGAAACGGUAGCUAAUACCGCAUACCAUCAGAUGUGCCCAGAUGGGAUUAGCUAGUAGGUGGGGUAAUGGCGCACCUAGGCGACGAGCCCUAGCUGGUCUGAGAGGAUGACCAGCCACACUGGAACGGAGACACGGUCCAGACUCCUACGGGAGGCAGCAGUGGGGAAUAUUGCACAAUGGGCGAAAGCCUGAUGCAGCCAUGCCGCGUGUAUGAAGAAGGCCUUCGGGUUGUAAAGUACUUUCAGCGGGGAGGCGUUACCCGCAGAAGAAGCACCGGCUAACUCCGUGCCAGCAGCCGCGGUAAUAC
rnacentral:rRNA from 1 species